rnacentral:rRNA from 1 species
GAAAGAAAACUCGGAAGCUAAGCCGUCGCGGAGGCGGGAGCUAGCGGAGGGGCGCAGAGAGAGGCGCUGACAAAGGAAGGGGAGCAGGUAGUUUAGAGCUAAGCAAAGCUUUAGCGCAAACUAAAACGACGAUGAUGCGAGCAGCGGAGACGAAGGACGCGAGCGUCCCCUAAGCCGGGCAGGGCGGGCGGAGGCACGCUGAGGCCCCUCGCUCGCCAGCUACCACCUAAGGCAAGUCGGCAAACCAAAACGAAGACGCAGACUAAAGCUCACUGGGCUCCCUCCCGGCCUCGUCCCAGUCAAGGAGCACGAGACAGUCUAGCCAAGGACCAAGGCGGUGGACGGACGCAGGCAGCGGCAGUCAAUUAUGCUCCACCUAAGCUCCGGGAGCACCUAAGAACAACAUGGCCGACUGGAUCGAACGAAAGACAAGCACCAAUAAAACUAACUAACCACUGUCAGGUUGCCAAUAAGACUAUACCAGUCUAGAAGAGCCUACUAGUUCGAUCGAAAGUUAGAGAAUAUGGUUGGAUCCGACCUUAUGUGCUGACGCAAACCUAUUAUGUAGUUUAGGGAGGAUUAAAUCAAAGAACCAGACGUGACAUGUUAAAUCAGAUGAUGUCAUGUUAAGACUAAACCUAUAGAACGACGAACAGGUCUUUAACCCUAAUGUCCCUGACUACCCUCGGUGAGUAGAAGAACGACUGGACGCGCACAACUACUAGAGGUGUUAAGUUAAUCAAAGGGUUGUUGAGACUAAAAGUAAACAACGACCGAGAGAUGUUUGACCUGAAUUGUCCACCAUGAUUCAAAGACCUGGAAAGAAUAACUUUAUUAAUAUUGAGUCGUCUGUCAUCAAAGGGGACGGAAUCAGUAAGAGUCGAGAACGUCUAUCACAGGGUCAGCUCUGUCCGAAUUAAAGAAAAUAGAAGUUGAGUAGCAAAUUAGAUCAAAAGAAGGAUUGGCCUUGUAAAUAAAUAGCUUUCCAUAGUACGAGCGACGUCCAGCAACAAGUCCUUGAGUUCCGGUGGUUGGACUACGACUCAAACGUCAAGAAGAUUUAGAUAGAAGAGUUAAGGAAUUGAAUCUAUUAUUAUGCUUCUAAAGAAUGAUCCGUUAUAAAGUUUAAGUCUAAAUCGACGUUUCCACGUUCUUACUUCGAAGUUUGAUCACCGUGUAGGAUGUUGGCCUUUUUUGAAUUUAGAGAAUGGGAGAAUAAAAAUAAACUAAGUGGAUGUACAGGUAGAGACACUAAAUCCAAAAACGAAGACGGGAGGUACAGCAACGUCUAAACAAAACCGGAUUCUGUUACGACCAUCACUCAGACUUAGACAAUUUUAGCAGACCAAACGGUAGAUAGACAUGAGAACUAGGGACGCAACCAGAAGGACGGGUAACGAUAGACUAUAUAAAUCCUUCAAACCCGGGUGUACGUUUGGACACGAACACAGUGGCACAGUCCGGUCACAGAACUGACAACCAAGUAAACACAACCGAAGGUACCCAACCAACGUCCUGACCUAGACCAUACACCUCUAGGAACCCCAUAACAUACAGAUUCCCCUAAACUCCGUCCAGUCUAAGCUUACCGAUAUAACGAGUACACCAGAAGACCAAUAGUAGUGCUCAAGGUAGUAGUAGUCGAUUAUACUCCACCUAAGUCCCAGGACGACCUAAGAAUAACAUCGUCCGAUCGUCGACUAGAGCGAAAACAACACACAAACACGAGGAAAUCUACGUCGUCUUCGUUCUCCCAUCACCAAGGUCCCUCUACUCAGUUUCCCACCUCCAAACCAAAGACUAUAUAUUUACCAGUCUAGCAGGACCUCCUGUUACAAAACCACAAGUUGACUUCAAAACCUAACGAGUAGUUGGACCUUGAACACUUCAACACUAUGCACAAACCUACUAUAGUUUAAGAACUAGGGAGACUGAAAAUUGAAUAAGUAAACGUUUCAUGUUAUUAAAUGAGAAGUCUCCAAGACUAAACCUAAUAGUAACCACCUAGAGGUCUUUAAACCUAAACCGAAUCGCCGCCCCCCACUGAACAGAAGAAGAAAGACAAGACGAAACCUACUUAGCAAUGAAGGGGGUAAAGUAAAUAAAGAGAGGAGCGGAAAACAGAUGCUGUUAAGACUAAACGUAAAAAAAAAGAUUAGGUAACCAGAUUAGGUAACCACGAAGAAGUCUUUAACCCUAACAUGCCAAAUCACCCCUGUGGAUAGCAGAACCACUAGACGCAACCUACUAGUAAUGGAUAGUCAAAUUAAAGAAGAAGAGGUCUCAAGUUAAUCAGAGGGU